rnacentral:rRNA from 1 species
ACCCGUUGAUCCUGCGGGAGAUUGCUGCUAGUAGAGUUCGACUAAGCCAUGCAAGUGAUUGGGAUUUAGUUCCAACGUGAAUCGCUCAGUAACACGUUGAUAAUUUGCCCUUGUGCCCAGGAUAAGCUCGAGAAAUUGAGUAUAAUACUGGAUAGGUAAUAAUAUCUGGAAGUGAAUUAUUGCACAAAGAUUUAUCGUACAAGGAUGAGUCAGCGGUCGAUUAGAUUGUUGGUGGGGUAAUGGCCCACCAAGUCGACGAUCGAUAAGGGCCAUGAAAGUGGGAGCCCUGAGAGGGUCACUGAGAAAUUGGACCCAGUUUUAUGGGGUGCAGCAGGCGUGAAACCUCUUCAAUGCAUGAUAGUGUGAAAGGGGGACUCUACGUGCUUAUGCAUUAGUAUAGGCUUUUGCAUAGUGUAAAUAGCUACGCGAAUAAGGGGUGGGAAAGACCGGUGCCAGCAGUUGCGGUAACACCGGCGCCUCGAGUGGCAAUCAGUAUUAUUGGGCCUAAGGCGUUCGUAGCCUGAUAAACAAAUCUCUUGUGAAAUCAUACAGUUUAACUGUAUGGCGUGCAGGAGACAUUAUUUAUCUAGAAACCGGGAGGAGUGUGAGGUAUUCUAUGGGGAGCGGUAAAAUGUGAUAAUCCAUGGAAGACCAUUGGUGGUGAAGGCGUCACACUAGAACGGAUUUGACGGUGAGGAACGAAGGCCAGGGGAGCAAAACGGAUUAGAUACCCGAGUAGUCCUGGCUGUAAACGCUGUCUGCAAGAUGUUGCGUAUUCUUGUGAAUUCGCAGUAUCGAAGAGAAGUCGUUAAGCAGACCGCCUGGGAAGUACGGUCGCAAGACUGAAACUUAAAGGAAUUGGCGGGGGAGCACCACAAGGGGUGCGGCGUGCGGUUUAAUCUAACUCAACGCAGAAAAUCUCACCAGAGGCGACAGCAAGAUGAAAGUCAGUCUAAAGGGCUUACUAGAUGAGCCGAGAGGUAGUGCAUGGCCGUCGUCAGCUCGUGCCGUAAGGUGUCCUGUUAAGUCAGGCAACGAGCGAGACCUGUAUCCACAAUUGCUAGCAGCAUCCACGGAUGGACUGAGAACAUUGUGGGGACUGCCCGUGAAAACGGGAGGAAGGUGCAGGCUACGGUAGGUCUGUAUGCUCCGAAUCUUCUGGGCUACACGCGCGCAACAAUGGUAGAGACAAUAGGCUACUACUCCGAAAGGAGACGUAAUCCCCGAAACUCUUCCUUAGUACAGAUUGUGGGUUGUAACUCACCCACAUGACGCUGGAAUCCCUAGUAAUCAGAAUCCAUUAUAUUCUGGUGAAUAUGUCCCUGCUCCUUGCACACACCGCCCGUCAAACCACUCGAGCAGAGCGUACGUUUGACACAACUAAUAGGCCGUGGCUCACGUACGC